rnacentral:rRNA from 1 species
GACGGAGGGUGCAAGCGUUGUUCGGAAUUACUGGGCGUAAAGGGCGCGUAGGCGGCGCACCAAGUUAGGCGUGAAAGUCCUGGGCUCAACCUGGGAACUGCGCUUGAUACUGGUGUGCUUGAGGAUGGAAGAGGGUUGUGGAAUUCCCAGUGUAGAGGUGAAAUUCGUAGAUAUUGGGAAGAACACCGGUGGCGAAGGCGGCAACCUGGUCCAUUACUGACGCUGAGGCGCGACAGCGUGGGGAGCAAACAGG